AUAAACACGCUCAAUAAUAACAUGCUUGUUAGAUUUGUUAUUAUUAACCAGUCCAGUUUUAUUGAUUCUACGUUAAAUUUAUCAUUUUUACAGUACUUAUACAAUACAAUAAAAUAUUUGUAUUUAUUUGAAUGUGUCUAUUAAAAUUAAUUACCAAAAUCAUAUAGGGUAUUAAUGGUUGUUUGGCUUAAUUUUAGUAAACAAACCGAGUUUGCAUCAAAUCAACAAAAAAAAAGUUUAUUUUUCAAGGGGACAAAAAUGAACCGGACAUAAUAUACAGAGGACUGUUGUUGCUAAUUAUCAAGAACUCAUUUGGUUUAAAAAUGUGGCACGGCAACCAUUCACUGAGACAUCAUAUCAAGCAUACGAUAAGUAGGGAAAAUGGAAUUUCCCUCAAAUAAAUCCACGGAGAUGUAACCAGAAAAAUAUCGACAUAAAUCCAGCCAGUUAAAAAAAAACGUUGUACAGUAGGAAGAAUAAAAAAAAAUAAUGAAAUGUAGCAAAUAUAAUAAAGAAAAAAAUAAAAAAAAACAUUUUGAUUUGAAAACAA